GCGCGCGGAUAUAAUUAUGACAGCGCGUACGACAUCACUUCGGGCUGCGGGGGGCUACGGAAGGAUCCUUAACAAGCGAUGACGUUGUUCAUAAAUCAUUCUAAAGCUGGAAAAAAUUCUGUUAGGGCCAAAUUUUACUCAGAUAUAUAGCAUACACGUAGACAUUUAAGAAAAACCAGAGAUUGGAUGCUGUCUAUUUUUCGGUAGCUGGUAGACAUUUUCCAAUCUCCACGGCGGUGGAAAAGCGUUGUCGGUAAAUGUCGGUGUAAAACUUUGUGGGGCUUCAGUCACGGCGGCGGAGAGCGGAGCGCUAAGAGGAUCGGCCCGCGGGAGCAGAUUACCAGGUGGACUUCCGCUUGCACGUGCCAGGAGCUAUAAAUAAGCGACGGCAGUCCGUUAUUUAGGAGCGCUGACAUAAGUCCAGAGUAAUUCCAUUUAUGACCUUCAUGCGCGUUGUAAAAUCUCCACAAAAGAGCCAUUUUUAGAGGACGGGUGUCUAAAGGGAAAACGCUGAUUAGAGCGACCCAUCCGCCAGAUUCGAGUCUCCUGAUCCUCCCAUUCCACCGGAAUUCUGAACAGUCCCUGUAGCACAGGCAGCUGCAGCAUGAAGCUGGAAGCCAGGCAAGUCGCUCCAGAUCAAGAGAUGAGCUUGUGUCGUGUUUACUGAAAGGUCUCCAAGGGAUGUUGAAUUUUUGAUGGAGGUAACGGAACAGAAAGCGCAACAGUCCAUGAUGGAAACAGUCCGAUCACAAGGUGAAAACUUAUGCCCCAUGGUACAAGGAACCAGCGAAUUCUGCCUAGCGUACACAGAGUGUUACCAGGACCGUUUCCCCCAUAGAAGUGCAUCUCUCUCUGGGACACCCCGCAGAGAUCUCAGUCCUCUCCAGCAAUCCGACUAUCCGUACAUGUACAUACAGUCUGCAGUGUUACAGAUUUAGCGCUUAUUUUCCUUGGUCAUUUUUGCAGAAACCCCCUCGUUCUGCCAAAAUAAAGAGCCACAAUCAGAUUAGUCACACCCUUCUCGCCAGAUAUCCAAACCCCGAUUUAGAGCAUCUGCGAUCAAUGGCGCUUGUACCCUGAGGGCUUGGUGAGGGCAGGUCGCUCUCCCUACUCCUGCAUGGUUUGUUCAGGGGUUCUGCAUUGGGGCUUCCAUACAGCUGCACAGCACAUCAUUUUCCUGGUCUGAUUUAGGAGCCGGCACAUCUGAUUCAGAUCACAUUACAUGACAUGA